GACGAACGCUGGCGGCGUGCUUAACACAUGCAAGUCGAACGAUGAAGAAGAGAAACGCGAACUUCGGUUCAAAUUUCACUUCGGAUUAGUGGCAGACGGGUGAGUAACGCGUGAGCAACCUACCUCUUACAAAGGGAUAGCCUCGGGAAACCGUGAUUAAUACCAUAUGACACAUUCAUAAGGCAUCUUAAGAAUGUUAAAGCUACGGCGGUAAGAGAUGGGCUCGCGUCCCAUUAGCUAGUUGGUGAGGUAACGGCCCACCAAGGCGACGAUGGGUAACCGGCCUGAGAGGGUGAACGGUCACAUUGGAACUGAGACACGGUCCAAACUCCUACGGGAAGCAGCAGUGGGGAAUAUUGCACAAUGGAGGGAACUCUGAUGCAGCGACGCCGCGUGAGCGAUGAGGGAAUUCGUUUCGUAAAGCUCUGUUCUAUGGGAAGAAAAGGACUGUACCAUAGGAGAAAGCCCCGGCUAAAUACGUG
rnacentral:rRNA from 1 species